CAAGACAUAAAAGGCCCUGGUUCCCAGCUGUAGUGUAUCUCAUUGCUCUGAGCAUCCAUGCUCGGCUCUGGAGCACGUCCUGCCUCUUCCCCUGAUAAAUCCUUCUCAGGCCUCUUUUACUGAGAUGUCAGGAAAUUCCUUUUCUUUUCUUUCUUUCUUUUUUUUUUUUUUUGGUACCAGGGAUCAAACUCUGGUCCUUAAGCUUUGGAGGCAGGUGGCGGAAUCACUGAGCUAAAUCCCCAGCCCCAGGCAAUUCUUUUUCUAGGACAGGAGCCUGUGAACCUGCAAACUUAUUUGAAAGGGCUUAAGUUCCUUAUUUCCACCUCAGAACCCUCAGACCCAGCCCGUGAGAGCGGCACAUUCCAGGCUCAGGUUCCAUGGCUUCCCCACAUCCGCCUCCUCCAAUCCCUACCGGCCUUUCCCACUUCCUGACGUCCUCCCAAAACCACUCUCCCUCUUUCCCGCCUCAGGCGACGCUCACCACCUUCAGGUGCUCAGACCCAGACUCCAGCCCUUCCUGGCUCCUCCUUUGUCUCCCACACCCAGUCCAGCAACAAAUGCACCUGGAUCCGCCCCUACUCAGCACCAGCCCCUCCAGACCGAGCCGCCCUCGUGUCACCCCGGGCCCCACCCUGUGGCCUGUUCUGUCUGUGGAAGGAGGCUCAGCCUGUGCAAAGCUGUAAGUUUUACACUCAGAAUGCUCCCAGGACUUCCUUCUCUCAUGGAGUAAAAGUCCAAGGCCUUACGCAAGGCCACAGUCCCCAUCCGACCUGGAAUCAAAACCCUGCCUUCUUAUGUUUGCUUCUGCCACACCUGGCCCUGACCCCAGCUCUUUUUUAAAAAUUUAUUUACUUGAGCCAAAAAUUGUAUUGAACUGGUCUCUUUGUAUAGUAACUAUAAAACACACAUACAGCUAUUAAAACCUAAGAUAAACCCCUUCACUAUUUAGAAACUUAAGCAUGUUUAUACGUUUGUUAAUAAAUUUUUCAUCUUUUUUUAUCCUUGCAGUAGAAAGGAAUUUGUCCUUGCAGGUCUGGAGGCUCACAGACCAUUUCUCUCUAAAACUGCCCCAGGCACUCGCGCUUGCUGUUCACUUCCCGGAGAUCCGGAGAUCCGGAGAUUGGCACUGCUCGGCUUCCUCCUUCCCUUCCAUCUCUGCUCACUUCCCAGAGAGGCUGCCCCAGGACUGCUGCACUCACAGCCCCCACCCUGCCUUCCGACACCCUUCGUGUUUUACUCACUUGCCGAGGCAAGCAGCAGCUGUGGGGGACACACGGCAUCAGAGUAUGGUGUUGUGUGUUCUGUCCCCUGGGAUCUCCAGGCCUGGCCAGGGCUGGCACACAGCAAGUACUUAAUUCCUGUGCAGUGAAUGAGCUAAUCAGAUGCAGUCUUCUCUAUCAAGCCCCAGUCUCAGUGGCCAGCCUCAGGACUGCUGUGUGUGUCUGUGUGAACCCAGAGGCUGAGCUGUAUCCCCAGCCGCUUAUUUAUGGAGAGACAAGGUCUCACUGAAUUGCCCAGAUGAGACUGGAACUUGCAAUCCUGCUGCUUCUGCCUCCCAGAGUGCUGGGAGCCACCAUACCCAGCGUACUUGUUCUCAUCUGCCAGGACCGGGGAUUUAGCUCAGUGGUUCCACCGCCUGCCUCAAAGGCGCAAGGUCCCGAGUUCAAUCCCCGGAACCAAAAAAAAUUUUAAUUAAUUUGUUCUUAUCUGCCGGGCCUUUGCCCUGAUCCUCCAAUCCACUAUUCAACCUUCACUGUUGCUCCAUCCUACAACCUGGGCAACCCACCUCCGGCCUGUGCUGCUGGCAGAGCCAAGCGCUCGCUCCUCCAGAUUCCCACCUGUCUUCCACUGUGACACAGUGGACAAACUGUGGCCACGGGGAGAAUGCAUUGCUCUGUGCUGAAGAAUCAGCUGUGCCCAGCCAUCUGCUGCAUGGAUUAUGUCGCUGAAUCACUCCAACAACCAAUAAAGUUGCUGUUGUUAUUAUCCAUGUUACAGUCAAGGAAACUGAGGCCCAAGCAGUGUCAGAGCGAAAAUGUGAACUUGGCUUUGUCGGACUCCAAAGUCUGUGUUUGUCAUUUUCAGAAUCAGGUCCCUUCACGAGAUUUGAGUUCGGAGACUCCAACCAGUGCUGAGGUGUCCCAGACCACCGAAGCAACAGGUCUCGCUUUUGAGAAAAAUGAACAUGUCCAGAUGAAGGCCACCAGGAAGUGAAAACUACCAAGAAGUCACCUUGAGAAUGGACCAGCUGGGCAGACCAACACAUACCAACCUCCAUGUCCACGCCCACAGGAAUGAUGCCAUUUAAUGACUGUGACAGCCUGGGAAAAUAAGCAGGGGUGCCACUGGCAGAUUACAACUUUUGAGAAACUCCGAGAAAUGGGUGGCAGACCAAAUUGGAAUGGCAGAUAAAAGCACAUGCCAAAACAGAAGCUAUGAAGCAAUGCUGCCCAGGGAAGGGGGCCCCAGGAGGAAGAGGGGCAGGUCCCGGGCCAGGGUCAGAGAGGUGGGCUGAAUACCAGCCUUCGGCACAAUGACCUUGGGCCUCUGGGACAGAAAGGCAGGACACAGAAGGAGGAGAGGGAGGCCCUGUGCUCAGAAAGCAAACUAUUACUCACAUUUCUUGCAACACAUUCUGGCCCUCUGCUAGCAAUCACUGACAACACGUGAGAUAAAAAAGAAACAGUGUCCACAGAGAAGAAAAUAGGCAAUCAUUGUACACAGAAGAGUACACAUCCACAGAUCAUCAAAGACUUCAGAGCGGCCAAUUUAAUAAAUACAACACACAAUAACCAAAGAAGCAGAAGUAACAAUGCAAGCAGACAUCUCAAAGGGGUACAUAUCAUCAGAGGGAUAAGAGAGGGCACUGCAUCCAGCAACAGGACGGCGUUAGGAGAAAGAAUUCCUUGGAACCACAAAUAAAAGACUCAAUCAUCAAAAUUUUUUGAAAAAUCAAGACACUGAAGGGAAGUCUAAAAACACAGACAAACAGGCAAUUAGUGAUCUGGGCAAUUAGGAAGAGGUGUUCCCUAACACCCAGGAAUAAGGACAUUGAGGCCUGGCAAAAAUAUAAAUGGCCCUUAAGCUCAUUCUUGGCAAAGUUUUAGAAAGAUAGGUUUUUCUCUCAAAUAUUUUUGGUAGAAGUAAAAAUUUUUUCUCAGACUAUUUACAGGGAAAAAAAGACACAUAAGCUAAACAAAUUCCUAUUAUUUAGGCCAAGGGUCAGCAAAUUAUAAUAAUAAGUCAGAUCUGGCAAGCUACAUAUUUUUGGAAAUAAACUUUUUUGGAACACAGCCACACUUACACAUUUAGACAUUAACUAUGGCUGAUUUCAUGCUUAAUGGCAGAAAUGAGCUCUGAGAAAGAGUGUAUAGCCUGUAAAGACUAAAAUAUUUGUAUCUGGUUCUUUAGUGAAAAAAACUGUUGAUUUGGGCCCCCCUGAUAUGGGCCAUUAUUAAUUGAUGAACUCAAUUUUUUUGUUGUUUGUUUUGCUUUGGUUUUUUUUUUGUACCAGGAUUGAACUUAGGACCUUGCACUUACGAGGCAGGCGUGGUGCCACUGAGCUAAAUCCCCAGCCCAAACUCACAUUUUCUUUGCAAUUUAACUUUUUUUAGCAAUUACUGAAGGUCUGUACCACAAUGAUAAAGAAUGAACUACUAAUACAUUUUAAAAAUGAAUGACUCUCUCAGAUAGAUUUAGUAGAGGAAAAAGACAGAAAAAUUGCACUUGUAUGAAGAAGUUCAAAUACAGGCAGAAUCUACCCUUUUGAGGAGUCUAGAUAGUGGUUCCUCUGGGAGAGGUACACAAUUGGGAAGGGACAUGCAGAAGUCCCCUGGGGCACAGGGAACGUCCUAUAUUCUGAUGGGGCAGAGCUAAUACAGGUGUAUUCAUACAAAAAACUCAUAAAACUAUGCAUUUAAGAUUGUCCACUUUAUUACACCUAAGUUAAACCUCAAUAAAUAAAAAGUUUAAAAAGA